rnacentral:rRNA from 1 species
UUUUUUAGAAGAGAUGCAUUUAUUAGAUAAAAAACCAAUACAUGCUUUUAAAGUAUGGAAUUUGGUGAUUUACAAUAACUUAGCAAAUCGCAUAGUGAAAACAGGCGAUAAAUCAUUCAAGUUUCUGACCUAUCAGCUUUCGACGGUAUGGUAUUGGCUUACCGUGGCAGUGACGGUUAACGGGGGAUUAGGGUUCGAUUCCGGAGAGGGAGCCUGAGAAACGGCUACCACAUCUAAGGAAGGCAGCAGGCGCGCAAAUUACCCAAUUCUAACAGCAUAAGAGAGGUAGUGACAAGAAAUAACAAUACAAGGCAGUUAAAAUGCUUUGUAAUUGGAAUGAUAGAAAUUUAAACACUUUUUAAAGUAUCAAUUGGAGGGCAAGUCUGGUGCCAGCAGCCGCGGUAAUUCCAGCUCCAAUAGCGUAUAUUAAAAUUGUUGCAGUUAAAAAGCUCGUAGUUGAAUUUCUGCUAAAAAUAACCGGUCUGCUUUUAAUAAAGGUGGUAUCUUGGUGUGUUUUUAGCAAUAAUGUCCUUUGAAAUGUUUAUUACUUCAUUGUAAUAAAUUAUUUUCAGGAUUUUUACUUUGAGAAAAUUAGAGUGUUUCUAGCAGGCUAACGCUUUGAAUA